GAUGAACGCUGGCGGCGUGCCUAAUACAUGCAAGUCGAGCGAACAGACGAGGAGCUUGCUCCUCUGACGUUAGCGGCGGACGGGUGAGUAACACGUGGAUAACCUACCUAUAAGACUGGGAUAACUUCGGGAAACCGGAGCUAAUACCGGAUAAUAUAUUGAACCGCAUGGUUCAAUAGUGAACGACGGUUUUGCUGUCCCUUAUAGAUGGAUCCGCGCCGCAUUAGCUAGUUGGUAAGGUAACGGCUUACCAAGGCGACGAUGCGUAGCCGACCUGAGAGGGUGGUCGGCCACGCUGGAGCUGAGACACGGGCCAGGAUCCUACGCGAGGCAGCGGUAGGGAAUCGUCCGCUAUGGGCGAGAGUCUGACGGAGCGACGCCGCGUGAGUGAUGUAGGUCUUCGGCUCGUAAAACGCUGUUAUUGGGGAAGAACAAAUGUGUAAGUGACGAUGCUCGUCUGGACGGUACCUAUUCAGAAAGCCACGGCUGACUACGU
rnacentral:rRNA from 1 species